rnacentral:rRNA from 1 species
GACAGAGGGAGCGAGCGGUAAUCGGAAUUACUGGGCGUAAAGGGUGCGUAGGCGGUUUAAUAAGUUAGAUGUGAAAGCCCUGGGCUUAAACUAGGAAUUGCAUUUGAUACUGUUAGACUAGAGUGCAGUAGAGGGGAGUGGAAUUUCCGGAGUAGCGGUGAAAUGCGUAGAUAUCGGAAGGAACACCAGUGGCGAAGGCGACUCUCUGGACUGUUACUGACGCUGAGUCACGAAAGCGUGGGGAGCAAACAGG